rnacentral:rRNA from 1 species
UACGGAGGGUGCAAGCGUUAAUCGGAAUUACUGGGCGUAAAGCGCACGCAGGGGGCUGAGUCAGUCGAUUGUGAAAGCCCUGGGCUUAACCUGGGAAUUGCAGUCGAUACUACUCAGCUAGAGUAUGGGAGAGGGCAGUGGAAUUCCCGGUGUAGCGGUGAAAUGCGUAGAUAUCGGGAGGAACAUCAGUGGCGAAGGCGGCUGCCUGGCCCAAUACUGACACUCAGGUGCGACAGCGUGGGGAGCAAACAGG